AACGAACGCUGGCGGCGUGCUUAACACAGGCAAGUCGUACGAGAAACAUGUCCUUCGGGGCAUGGAGUAAAGUGGCGCACGGGUGAGUAACACGUGGGUAACCUACCCUGAGGAUCGGGAUAACUGGCCGAAAGGCCCGCUAAUACCGGAUAAGACCACAUGGGCUCUGGCCCAAGAGGUCAAAGUCGGCCUCUCGACGAAGCCGACACCACAGGAUGGGCCCGCGGACCAUUAGCUAGUUGGUGAGGUAACGGCUCACCAAGGCCGAGAUGGUUAGCUGGUAUGAGAGGAUGAUCAGCCACACUGGAACUGAGAGACGGUCCAGACUCCUACGGGAGGCAGCAGUGAGGAAUAUUGCGCAAUGGGGGAAACCCUGACGCAGCAACGCCGCGUGGGUGAAGAAGGCUUUCGGGUUGUAAAGCCCUGUCAGGCGGGAAGAAACCUCUGUAGUCGAAUAGGCUGCAGAACUGACGGUACCGCCAAAGGAAGCACCGGCUAACUCCGUGCCAGCAGCCGCAGUAA
rnacentral:rRNA from 1 species